UAGGAAUCUUCCACAAUGGGCGAAAGCCUGAUGGAGCGACGCCGCGUGAGGGAUGAAGGCCUUAGGGUUGUAAACCUCUAAAAGAGGGACGAUAAUGACGGUACCUCUUGGAUAGCACCGGCUAACUCCGUGCCAGCAGCCGCGGUAAUACGGAGGGUGCAAGCGUUAUCCGGAAUCACUGGGCGUAAAGGGCGCGUAGGCGGUCUGUUAAGUCCGAUGUUAAAUCCCGGGGCUCAACCCCGGAUAAGCGUUGGAUACUGGCAGGCUAGACGGUUGGAGAGGCGAGUGGAAUUACCAGUGUAGCGGUGGAAUGCGUAGAUACUGGUAGGAACACCCAUUGCGAAGGCAGCUCGCUGGACAACACGUGACGCUGAGGCGCGAAAGUGUGGGGAGCAAACC
rnacentral:rRNA from 1 species